CACCAAAUUGAAAGAAUGGAGUUACUUAUCAUGUAGAGCAUUGGCAUUAACCGUUUUUUCUAUUGUCUUCUUCCUGCAAAGAAAAUUAACGAUCCCGAGGCCAAGAAAUUUCCUUUUUCCACUAACUCUAAUAACUUAAUAUUUUGAUUCCAUAUUUGUGUUUUGUAUUCAUAAUUUCUAAUUGGAAUCUAUAUACUUCCAGCCAAAAUAUUGAGAUUACAAAGUGUUUAUUCCUAAUCCCAAGGUUAAGAAACAAGAGGGAUAUGAUGACAUCCUUAAAGAAGUUUCAGACCCUGGUGCCAAAAAGAAAAUUAAGAACCACAACUAUAGUGGAAAGUGGAAUACACCAUUGAAUGACAACCCGAGUUUAGAUUCAUUCUUACAUUAACUGUAAAUACCAUUUAAUUGUUAUGUUGCUCAUUUUGUAGAAUCAUGGGUGUUAGUGUUGAUUCUUCUAGAACGCAAGCUUUGAGGAUGGAUAUGCAAAGAAGAGAGCACCAUGUUCGUAGGAUUUCGGCUCGAUGUAGAAAUAGUGAAUCAAGAACAGCCAGACACAAUUAUUAGGGAUAUUGUAUUUGAUCUUCAGCAAAAAGAAUAUGUCAAGUUCAAAAGAAAGAAUGAAGACCUUUUUGUAGAGCACACGGUGUUUGGUUCAAUGGUUUUGAGAAUGUGAAUACUUUUUUGCUUUCAAUUUAUUGUCAAUGGGAUAAAUUUCAUUUUGACAUCAUAAACACUUGGUAUGUUUUGGCAUUUUUGAUAAUUAAUUGUGACAUGAUAUUUGAUAUUUCUAUUAGUAUCAUUUUUGUGUAUAAGUCUAUGUAUUUACAUCAUUGUAUUAGUCCAAAAAUA